UAUAUAUAUCUUCACUUGAUACAUUUGUGUUCAUUACCAUUUUUGUUUGAGACAACUAGCCAACUCUUCCAUAUAGUGUUUGCAAAGCUUUAAGGCUACAAUGUAAUGUGAUGUAAACAUAGGGCAAAAGCCCAUUACUAUGAGCCAAAGUUCAGUAUGUCUUGAUAUAAUUUUUAUUUUUAAACUAUUGGUCUGUUAUCAGGUCAGUAAGGUUAAGCUGCUGCUUGGUGUGUGUGUGGCAUUGUGAUGUGUACAGCUUCUGCUGUUUUCCUAGUCAUUAAGUUAUACCUGAUAACUCCCCCGCCCCCCCAAUAGUACAUAACUAAUACACAGCCAAAUAUAUUAGAAUCACAUAUGACAUGCAGUAUUUGUGAUGUUUAAUAAAGGAGUUUAUUUUGAAGUUCAUGGUGUUUGUGUGUGCUUUGUGCUUACGGCGUUGGGCACGAGUGAAGCAGGAAACACAGCUGGAUGAUCCUGCAACGUUAUUUUUAGAGAUUUGGGCUCUGAUAUGACUUUGGGCAGAGCGACUACUUUACCUCCCACAUUGCCCUUGCCUAAAAUGAACGUGACUUCACGAUUUCAAUCGAACUGCAACUUGCACACAACUAGAGAAGUCGCCGGUUCUUAAAUAUACAUGAUGGAAGGGAACCUUUGGUGCCUAAAUUAAUCCCCCGUACCAAGGCAUCACUACUGCAGUAAGUUCCUUCUGAGAACAGCAAAACUCCCUCUGCUAUGAAAGACCAGGGCACUGAUAUGUGACCCAGCUCAUGGCAGUAAAAACAUUCUCUGGAACCUUCUGCUCAUUUAAAUAACCAUCCAGUCCAGCAGGCAAUUUUUAAACUCCUCCAACAGUAUUACCUCCUUGAGCUGAUCAAAGUCAGAGAUACCACUUGCGGCACUUGUGAGAGGACUUGCACAACAGUCUCACAAGUGAAUUCUAAAUGAGUGAAAAGCAGAUUUAUGAAGCUCACGAAAGGCCUCGGGCACCAGUUCAUAUGCUCUUAACACAGUGGCUUUCACAGCGUCAUACUCCAUGCUCUGUUCAAGGGACAAAGUGGAGCUGAUGGCAUCACGGUCCCUGUGAGAUCUGUGCCCUGGUGAGGCAUCACCGGUUUCCACCGCUGCAGGUGUCGGGGAUGACCCGGAUGCAUUGUGGGAACCCCACGGUUCGGUUGUGCACCAGGGCCUCCCUCUCCUCGUUCUAUUGUGGUUAGAGCCAGCUUGCACUGCUCUGUGACUAGUAAACAGCAUUGUACAAGAUCUCCAGUUUCCUGGCAAUUUUCUUGCACGGAAUUGCCUUCAUUUCUCAGAACAAGAAUAGACUGAUGAGUUUCAGAAGAAAGUUCUUUGAUUUUCACCAUUUUGAACUUGUAAUCAAACCCACAAUUGCUGAUGCUCCAGAUCCUCAGGUAGUCCAAAGAAGACCGGUUUCAUUGCUUCUUUAAUCAGCAAAACAAUUUUCAUCUGUGCUGACAUAAUUGCAAAAGGGUUUCUAAUGAUCAGUUAACCUUUUAAAAUGAUAGCCUUGUGUUCCAGUGGAAUGUUGGUUAAUUGUUGCUGAUAUUGGGCCUCUGUACACCUAUGUAGAUAUUCCGUUAAAAACAGCUAUGAUUUAUAACAUUGAUAAUGUCUACACAGUAUUUCUGAUCAAUCCGAUGUUAUUUUGAUGGUCAAAAAAAACUAAAAGAAAUUUUAAGUGACCCCAAACUUUUUCAACGGUAGUGUAUGCACUAAAACAUAAAAUUUAUGUGAAGCAAUGAGAAAUGAUGUUUUGCUGUGCAGAAGUAACAUUACGGUGUGGGGAUUAUACUAGCUGUUGUACAAAUGUUAAUUGUCAUUUGGAAUUUAAAAAAUAAUAAUAGAGUGGUUUAAAUUUUUUCCCCAGCUGUAUGCCAAUGUGAUGUUUGUGUUUUAUUUUUAAUAAAUUUGAAAAAAUGCCUAAAA